AAUUAUACAGUGUAGCGGUUAUCACGUCUGCUUUACAAGCUCAUAAACGAACUAUUAUCGCAGCAGGUCGCAAGUUCGAUCCUUGCAUCGAUCA